rnacentral:rRNA from 1 species
CCGCCUGGGGAGUACUGGCCGCAAGGCUGGAAACUUAAAGGAAUUGCUGGGGGGUAGCAACCACCAGGCGUGAAGCCUGCGGUUUAAUUGGAGUCAACGCCGGAAAUCUUACCGGGAUCGACAGGCAGAAUGAAGGCCAGGUUGAAGGUCUUGCUAGACGAGCUGAGAGGAGGUGCAUGGCCAUCGCCAGUUCGUGCCGUGAGGUGUCCUUUAAGUGAGGUAACGAACGAGACCCCCACCCCAUGUUGCCAUCAGGAUUAAAGGAUCGCUGGGCACUCUUGGGGGACCGCUGCCGACAAGGCUGAGGAAGGUGGGGGCCACGGUAGGUCAGUAUGCCCCGAAUAUCCCGGGCCACACGCGGGCUGCAAUGGUAGGGACAGAGGGCUGCAACACCGAGAGGUGGAGCCAAUCCCUAAACCUACCUCAGUUGGGAUCGAGGGCUGCAACCCGCCCUCGUGAACAUGGAAUGCCUAGUAACCGCACGUCAUCAUCGUGCAGU